rnacentral:tRNA from 1 species
UCAAGAAAUUAACUAAGUGAUUGUUUCCAUAUUCAGAGAAAUCUAGGUUGANAGANAAACAUAAUAGGUAAUCCUGAGCUAAAUUUUNNUUAGAAAAUAGGUGCAGAGACCCAAAGGAAACUAUCCAAUUNNNANNAUAUAAUAAUUUAUNANUNUAAAUAAUAUUAGAUAAGGAUAAAGAUAGAGUCCGUUUUUACAUGCUAUUUUUUAGUUAGCAACGAUGUAAAUCAUUGUAAAAAGAAAAUCCGUUGGCUUUUUAGACCGUGAGGGUUCAAGUCCCUCUACCCCCA